GAUGAACUCUGGCGGCGUGCCUAAUACAUGCAAGUCGAGCGAACAGAUGAGGAGCUUGCUCCUCUGACGUUAGCGGCGGACGGGUGAGUAACACGUGGAUAACCUACCUAUAAGACUGGGAUAACUUCGGGAAACCGGAGCUAAUACCGGAUAAUAUAUUGAACCGCAUGGUUCAAUAGUGAAAGACGGUUUUGCUGUCACUUAUAGAUGGAUCCGCGCCGCAUUAGCUAGUUGGUAAGGUAACGGCUUACCAAGGCAACGAUGCGUAGCCGACCUGAGAGGGUGAUCGGCCACACUGGAACUGAGACACGGUCCAGACUCCUACGGGAGGCAGCAGUAGGGAAUCUUCCGCAAUGGGCGAAAGCCUGACGGAGCAACGCCGCGUGAGUGAUGAAGGUCUUCGGAUCGUAAAACUCUGUUAUUAGGGAAGAACAAAUGUGUAAGUAACUAUGCACGUCUUGACGGUACCUAAUCAGAAAGCCACGGCUAACUACGUG
rnacentral:rRNA from 1 species